rnacentral:rRNA from 1 species
UUGGACCUCGGAUCAGGUAGGGAUACCCGCUGAACUUAAGCAUAUCAAUAAGCGGAGGAAAAGAAACCAACAGGGAUUGCCCCAGUAACGGCG